CCAUCAUCAGACGUGCAUUGUCGAAAUAAACCACUGUGGAAUAAAUUUUCCUCUAUUUCGGCAGUGCUGAAAUAUAGCUGUCACGCGCGGCGGAGAAUGGUCAUAUUACUCGGAAUCAACUAUAAAGUAAUCAUUUUUAGUAAAAUCGAAUCAGAUUCAACAAAACAAACAAUUUGAUACCAAGAUGUAAUGUAUUUUUAACACAUAAUGCAACUCAAAAAGCAAAAAAACAUUAUUUACAAAUAUUAAGUGCGCGUACUCGUGACGUCAUUAUUAACACGUCAUACGACACAAUGCAUGUUCUUUCACGCUAAAGCUGCAGUUGUUUAGUGUGUUUUUUUCAUUAUUUCUUAAAAAUCGGGGACGUAGAGGUAUGAUAAACAGAAAAACAGGUUCAACAAGAAAGCCGGCCAAUGUGGGGACGACAUGUUGAUGUAUUGGUUCCGUUUGAUCAAGAACUCACAACUGUGCUACGGCGAGGGAGUGAUGCCGGACAAGGAUGACAUGUGCAACAAUGCAAAUCUCAAAAGCACGCUGUACAAUAUGUCUGAAAGUCCAACCAGGAUCCUUAUGUCUGGUCUGACAGCGAGCGCAAUAUUCAACUACGACUUCAAAACAUUGAAUGGGUGCGCCGUCUAUAAUAACACAUCAUGGCGCUGCCAAGACCGGAGACACAACUGCUCGCGAUAUGGAACCAAGUUCUGCUCCGAGAAUAGAGACUUUGCCUCGUAUUGGUGUGCAAAACACUGUGACAUUUG